GAGGCGGGAGGAUUGCUUGAGCCUAGAAGUUUGAGGCUGCAGUGAUCUGUGAUCGCACCACUGCACUCCAGCCUGAGUGACAGAGUGAGACCCUGUCUC
rnacentral:miRNA from 1 species